rnacentral:rRNA from 1 species
GAUGAACGCUGGCGGCGUGCCUAACCCAUGUAAGUCGAGCGAUUCUGUUCGCAAGAGCAGAAGAGCGGCGGAAGGGUGAGUAACACGUAGGAGACCUACCUCAUCGCAGGGAACAACUUCGCGAAAGCGGAGCUAAUACCCAGAAGGCUCGCAUCUUCAGUGGUGCGAGGAGAGUAUCCCUGAAAAGGGGUGCGUGAUGAGAGGGUCCUGCGGCCCANCAGCUGGUUGGUAGGUAGUGGCCUACCAAGGCAACGAC